rnacentral:rRNA from 1 species
AUUGAACGCUGGCGGCUGGCUUAACACAUGCAAGUCGAGCGAGCGGCGGACGGGUGAGUAAUGUCUGGGGAACUGCCUGAUGGAGGGGGAUAACUACUGGAAACGGUAGCUAAUACCGCAUACCAUCGGAUGUACCCAGAUGGGAUUAGCUAGUAGGUGGGGUAAUGGCUCACCUAGGCGACGAUCCCUAGCUGGUCUGAGAGGAUGACCAGCCACACUGGAACUGAGACACGGCCCAGACUCCUACGGGAGGCAGCAGUGGGGAAUAUUGCACAAUGGGCGCAAGCCUGAUGCAGCCAUGCCGCGUGUGUGAAGAAGGCCUUAGGGUUGUAAAGUACUUUCAGCGGGGAGGCGUUACCCGCAGAAGAAGCACCGGCUAACUCCGUGCCAGCCGCCGCGGUAAUAC